AUUGAACGCUGGCGGCAGGCCUAACACAUGCAAGUCGAACGGCAGCGGGGGAUAGCUUGCUAUCCUGCCGGCGAGUGGCGGACGGGUGAGUAAUGCAUGGGGAGCUGCCCAGUCGAGGGGGAUAACAACUGGAAACGGUUGCUAAUACCGCAUACGCCCUAAGGGGGAAAGGUGGGGAACUUCGGUCCUGCCGCGAUUGGAUGCGCCCAUGUGGGAUUAGCUAGUUGGUGAGGUAACGGCUCACCAAGGCGACGAUCUCUAGCUGGUCUGAGAGGAUGACCAGCCACACUGGAACUGAGACACGGUCCAGACUCCUACGGGAGGCAACAGUGGGGAAUAUUGCACACUGGGGGAAACCCUGAUGCAGCCAUGCCGCGUGUGUGAAGAAGGCCUUCGAGUUGUAAAGCACUUUCAGUCAGGAGGAAGGUGGUAAGGCUAAUAUCCUUAUCAAUUGACGUUACUGACAGAAGAAGCACCGGCUAACUCCGUGCCAGCAGCCGCCGUAA
rnacentral:rRNA from 1 species